rnacentral:rRNA from 1 species
GGGAGCGGCAGACGGGUGAGUAACGCGUGGGAAUCUACCCAGCUCUACGGAAUAACUCAGGGAAACUUGUGCUAAUACCGUAUACGUCCUCCGGGAGAAAGAUUUAUCGGAGCUGGAUGAGCCCGCGUUGGAUUAGCUAGUUGGUGGGGUAAUGGCCUACCAAGGCGACGAUCCAUAGCUGGUCUGAGAGGAUGAUCAGCCACACUGGGACUGAGACACGGCCCAGACUCCUACGGGAGGCAGCAGUGGGGAAUAUUGGACAAUGGGGGCAACCCUGAUCCAGCCAUGCCGCGUGAGUGAUGAAGCCCUAGGGUUGUAAAGCUCUUUCACCGGUGAAGAUAUGACGGUACCGGAGAAGAAGCCCCGGCUAACUUCUGCCACAGCCGCGGUAAUACGAGGGGGGCUAGCGUUGUUCG